ACGUGAUCUGAGUUCAGACCGGAGUAAUCCAGGUCAGUUUCUAUCUAUAAAGAGCUUCUUCUAGUACGAAAGGACCGAAAAAGCAUGGCCUAUACUAAAUGCAAGCCAUCCUAGGUAACUUAUGAUUAAAACUUAAUAAGUAACCUAUCUUAAACCUAUCUCAAGAAAAGAGA
rnacentral:rRNA from 1 species